UACGUAGGGUGCGAGCGUUAAUCGGAAUUACUGGGCGUAAAGCGUGCGCAGGCGGUUGUGCAAGACCGAUGUGAAAUCCCCGGGCUUAACCUGGGAAUUGCAUUUGUGACUGCACGGCUAGAGUGUGUCAGAGGGAGGUAGAAUUCCACGUGUAGCAGUGAAAUGCGUAGAUAUGUGGAGGAAUACCGAUGGCGAAGGCAGCCUCCUGGGAUAACACUGACGCUCAUGCACGAAAGCGUGGGGAGCAAACAGG
rnacentral:rRNA from 1 species